GUUUGAGUACCAGCAAGCACAGCUGGAAGCAGAGAUUGAGAACUUGUCUUGGAAGGUGGAGCGAGCAGACAGUUACGACCGAGGGGAUCUAGAGAAUCAAAUGCAUAUAGCAGAACAGAGACGUAGAACACUGCUUAAGGAUUUUCAUGACACAUCAGACUAAGGAGUCCUGUGGUUGUGGUGCCACAUUGAAAAAGGCGUGGCUGGGGAAGAAGACAAAAUAUUGUUCAGUUUCCUUGUUUUUUUUUAAUCUGCCGUUCCUUUGAUUUUCUUCUUUGUUUGCUGGAAUAGUCAGCAAUGCUCGUGGGUGAUAACCUUCAUGAGCUGCAAUAGUGUUAGACUUAUUUUUAGAAGAAAAAAUGUAUUUCUUUUUUUUAAAGAAAGAGAAAAUAAUAUGUGCUAACAUUGAAAAACGCGAUUGUUUAAACGUUUUAAGAAACCUGGGCUUUUACAAAUGCUUUCACAGGGACUGGAAGAAUUGCAGAAGCCUCAGCUUCCCCACAGACUUUUAUGUAUCUUUUCACUGGAAGAAACUAUUUGGGGCAUUCGUGGCACAACCUGAUUAUAGUGCAUACUGGCACUAGGGCACUCUGCUUAGGUGAUUGUUGGGAAAGCGCACACUGCUUCUAAAUAAGUCAUUUGGGAAUAAUUUGGCUUUCUGGUAUCUUGCAUUAAUGCGCAUACAUAGCCAGCUUUGUGUGGGAGCAAUUUUUUUCGGUUUGAUUUGAGGUGGGGUGUUAAUGUUUGAAGGACGUGAUCAGUCUACAUGAGGUGCCGUAUACUGAGGGGUGCUUAUUAAUGCCUUUUGUAGAACAAGUCUCCUGCAUUUCUGGUCACGGGUCGGAGAGAGGAGAAAGUAAUAGUUAAAUGAGUGCCUGCUGUUACUACCUCUGCUAUGAAUAGAAUAACAGCAGGCUUGCAUUGCGUUGCAAAGCAUUGAGGUUCGUGAAGAUUUAAAAGUUACAUGAAGUACCUGACUUGUAUGGCUCCUGCCCCUGCCCUGAGCAGUUUUCUGUGACCUUGUUAUUUGAUCUUCAAAAAUUAUUUUUUAAAUGCUUUAUACUUUUUUUUUUAAAAAGAAGGAAGUGAUUUGAGCUUCUGUCCCCACUCCCAUCUUGUAAUGGUUUAGUUUAUAUACUUGCUAUUGUUGAGAUGGGACCCUGGUUACACUUAAGGAUAUAUAAUAAAUGAGUUUUUAUACAUUUCAAAUUUGUCAUGCUACCUCGAGUACUCCACUCUGAUCUGGAAUGAUUAGACUGAAUACUUUUUUGGGGGGCUAUUUAUGAUGUGUAUCUUUUUUUAUUUCCAAAAGGUUGCAACAGGUGAUAUAACUUCUGUAAUGUUUUCAAAUACUUGUGCUUUCUGCAGCAUUAGAACCACUGUAUUGUUCAUUAUUGAUAAUAUAAAAGAAAGUUAUUUAAUUCCACUUGCUUGCUAUUGUCUGAAACCUUCCCAAACUCCCCUCCCUUCCCUCCCACCGUGACAGGAACACUGCGCACCUGCGCUGAGCUGAAUUUGCUCCUGGUGUUUUUAUUCUUUGAGUUCUUCCUCUGGCCAAAUGCCCUGAGAAAUUAGCGUGCUCCCAGUCCUGGGUGGCUGUGAUACUCCAACUGCAUGCUGAGCUGGUACUUUGUGCCAUAGCCAGUGUCACCACAGAUUGGAUCAGCUGCUACAUGGUGCUGAUUGCUCUCACUCUGAUUAUAAUUUUUCUUCUUCCUGAUGAAAUAGAGAUUGAAAGUGCAGUGGCUUAAUAAUCAGACCUGUGGCUUUGCUCUUCCUUUUCCCACUUUCCCCAGAGGCACAGAACAUCAAUUUAGUUGAGUUUUUUUUUCCCAUUCUGUGGUGUACCUAGCUGGUUGACGACAAUUUAAUGUUGAGUUUGUUAAUGUGCAUGCUCAAGGUUUGCAGUGUGACUGAAGCCAUAUGAUUGAUUUUAUUGCCUUGUAGCUGCUGCCCUCUUAUCCCUAAUGUUAUUCCAAGUGACUCUGCUCACAUGGAAUAAAUCUCAUAGUUAUAUACAUUAAAGACCCUUUUGCAUCCUGUUUCCAUUUUAAUUUCAGGUUAUGCACUGAAGUAGGGGAACUGUUUCUCAGUAACAAAUUUGUAACAGUGCCUAAGGUUCUGACUGAAAGUUACAUUGGCCAACAUGGUGUUGAGCAUCUCCUGAAGGUUCCAUCACGCACAUUCGUGCUUACAACUGUCCAACUCCACCAUUGACCAAGAUAUUUACUGCUGGCCCCCAACCCACUUGAAAGCAAACAGACUGUUCAUUUCUGAAUCAAUAAUUAGCUGUCAAACCUUUUCUCAUUCUUUAUUCUAAUUACUAAUUGUAUAUUCUACCAAAAUGGCGGAGGAAAGGGAGCCUUCAUUUUUUGAGGCGAUAAUGAUUUUUUUCUGUCUGGUUUUCUGAUAGCAUCAUCUCAUAAAUAAAUCUUAAACUUCUUGAGGCUCCACAGCAGUUCUGGAGGGUUGGCAGCCCUGCUGAAAGCUUGUUACUUUGUGGCUAUUAAGUGGUUGCAGAUGACUUCUAUAAUCGUACCAUCCAAAAGCGAACAUUUAAGUUAAGUAGCUAUUAUUGGCUUUCAGUGUUUUGUCUUUUGUUGCCCGUUAACUAGAACAUAAUGUUAUAUAUUCUGUAAAAGAAUCAAAUUGCCUGUUUGUUUUCUCCAAACUGAAUUUAUUACUUUUGGUUUAGAAAUCUACAAAUUAACACAAGCCUUUCAUCUUCAGAUACUUUUACAGACAAACUUACAAUAAUGGCUAAGUGAUAAUGCUGACCUGGAGAUGCAUGUUAGCCCAUCAUGUAAGCACCUAUGGAAUCAUAGAAGGUCAUUUGUUCGAUGCAUCUAUGCUGGCCUGUUGCUAGCGAUAUCCAAUUUAGACCUACUCCCUCUCCACUCCUUCACCAAAGUUUUGUAAAUGUUUUCAUUUGUUUUUUUGGUUUAUAUUCUCAAUUAUUUUUCUGUACCCUUUUGAAAGCUAAUGUUGAAUCUGCUUUCACCACCCUUUCAGCCUGCAUAUUCAUAAGUAAUGACUUUUUAAAAACAAUCAAAUGUACACCUGUCUAUCUUUUGUUCUUUAUCUUCCUCAAGCAAAGCAACCAUCCCUUUACUUUUAUUUUGGAAAAUCUUUGAGUAUUGUUCUUGUUGACCUGCCAAGCAAUGUGUUUGUGAGCUGAGCACAUGUUUAACUUCACUGUCUGGUCAUUGCUUGCCAUCCCUGUGUUUCUGAAUAGUUUCUGGCUGUGAGUGAAUUUCUUCCACUGAGGUAACGUUAGACUUCUGGGAAUAUCUCCUGAUCAAAUUCGUGACCCUGAACUUUAAGUAGGGUUAACAGUGUUGUACUCAAGACCACCUUGUAACUAUUUCUGACUUAAGUGGUCAAGAAUGAAUUUUAGUGCGUGAGAUGUCAUAUGGAUGGCUUCAUUAUCCUCUGAGGUCAAGAUUGAACACUGUUGCGUUAAGCAGCAGCUACUUCUCAUCACAAAUUUGAUGUGGUCAGAUUUGUUGAUCAGAGCUGUUGAGUUUUGCCUGUACCUUUGGAGUAUUCACAAUCUCUGGCAUUUUCAGCAAGGACAGAUUAGCAAAUUUCUAAUAAUCCAGCACUGUAGCCAAGCAGAAGGGAGUAUAAUGCGGAUCAUUGUUGGAGCUGCAACAGGAGAUUAUUCCAGGCUCAUCAAAUUGCAUGAAAAGUUGAGACAGUUUUGUCUGUGAGGAGUAAGAACUGACCUAUUUUUCAUUUGAGGCUUUCUUUUAUGAUUGCGUUUGAUGUUCUGUCAUUCAGUAUCCUUUUCCUAGAAUUGUAUAGUACAGAGGCCAUUCAGCUCACUGUACCUGUGCUGACCCUUGGAAAGGGUCAUCCAGGUCGUUCUCCUUUCCCUCUCCCCACUGUCCUGCAAGUUUUUCUGUAAUUUUACAUUCUAUUCCUAAUCUCGCUUUUUGCUAGCUCAUACACUGAAGGGAAGGUUAACUCUUAAAUUGAAAAGAAAUGAGAAGUGGUUUUCUAAUCAGUCUUUGGUGUCCUCCAUUCUGGAUGUUUACUGCUUCCUGCCUUUUUGAGCAGAUUGUUAAGUAUUGGGCAUGCUGAAGAUUUAAAGAUCUGAAGAUUAUUGGAACAAAAAUACCACAUUUUGCAAGUAAUAUUAUAAUUCCACUAAAGAAUUCAAAUCUGCCAAUUAUAAUUUUUUGAUGCUCAAUUGCCAUUGCAGCCCCCUCUAAUUUUAUAUUGAUUUUAAUUCUUUUUUGAUUGCAGUAUAUUGGAACCUAAACUGUUGAAUCCAACUUCCUUAUCCCACAGCAAAACUGUGGAGUCAAGGAAAUAAGGCCUGUCAUUUACCUGAUAUGAUGGGGAUGAGGUGCUGGAUUCAGUAGUGCUUGUGCCAGAAACUUGUUCAUGAGUUUUGGACAAAUACAAAAGCAGGUCUUACUUUAGUGUUAUCUUUCCCAAAGAAUUUGAAUUGAUGCUGAGUCUAUUUAGCAAGUUGGCACAAAUACACUUUGGCAGGGGUGAUACAUUUAUAUUCCUUCAGAUGUAAUUCAUCACAUGUUGCUCAUCUUUUCCAACCACAUACCAAUAUUUGCGUGUUGGAGCACAAAGAACUUCUGGUAGUGUUUUUGACAAAAACAAGAUUAGUUUUUAAUAAUUCUGUACCGUAGCUAUGCAGAAGGGAAUAUAAUGCAGAUCAGUGGAGUUGCUUUAGGAGCUUUUUCCUGGUUCAGCAUAUUACAUGGGCAUGUAUUUAACUCUUUAACACACUUUUGUUCUGUUCGGAUUCAGUGGCCUCCAAAAGUUUAGAAACAAGCUCUAUAAAUAAAAGCAAAGUGCUGCAGGUGUUGAUGAUGUGAAAUACAGACAGUGUUGAAGAAACUCAGCAGGCAAAGACAAGAGGUGAGAACUUUUUUAGCUCAGAGGGUGGUGAGAGCCUGAAACACUCUGCACAAAAGGAUAGUUGAGUCAGAAACAGUCCUAAAAUUUAGUCAUUUGUGUUGUCAUAGCCUCCAGGGUUAUGGACGAAGAUCUUGAAAAUUGGUCAGAUCUUUGACCAGCGCAGUCAGAUCUUUGACCAGUGCAGACACAGUGGCUUCCUUCUGUGUUUUAGAUGUCUGAGUCUACAGUGUCCAGCUAGAUCUGUGGAGAGAGAAACAGAAUUAACAUUAAGACUCCAGUGUUAUGUUUCUUAGCAGCUUGAUAAUUGUUAAGUUGAUUGCUUAUUUUCAGUUUCCUGGGUUUGACAAUUUUGUUUGCACUUCCAUUUCUGUUUUGCUGAUCUUUGAGUAAUGAAGUAGCCCCCACUGUCUGCUUUCUUAUUAAUCUCCUCCAAUGUGUAGACCCAAACCGUGUCCAAGCCAUGAAAUGUCUUUCCAGGGAAUGACUGCACAUCACUUGCAUUCAUUGGUAAAUUUUGCAGAUAUAAUGUCCUGGGGCUUUUUCCUAAAUGCACUUCAAAUACACUGAAGGCGUCAAUAUCAUAAUAUUGAAAUCUCCAAUCCCUAAUCCUGAAAGUGCUGUUCCAUUUCUUUGUAGGCUGUAGCUAUGACUUUUGCAAAGAAAAGUGACGUGUUGUUAGGCAUUGAACUGCUCUAUUUCAAAGCAUAUGCCAAGUGAUCUGUUGCCACCUACAAUAUGGGAAUGACCAUUUUCACUGCUGCUGUGAAUAAAAGCAGAACUGUUGAGAGGACAACCAGUGAUGUUUUAUUCCUUUACAGGAAUGUGGGCGUUAUGAUUGCCCCUCCUUAAUUUCCCUUAAGAUGAGGAGUCACUUGAGUUGCUGCCACAAUAUAAAAUCACUUGAUAUGACAAUCAGUAUUGUGAUUCAGCUUUUCCUUCCUUUUUAAAUCCUAGUUUACUGUUGAUUGACUGAGGGAGAGGAUAUAUGAACAUUUGUAUCCUGGUGCCUCUUCAGUCGAUCUAAGUUUUUAUUCAACAACCUACAUUUAUAUAGCACUUUACAUCAUGAUGUAAAAUAGUAUAGUGUCCUAAGGCACAUUCGAAUUUCACACUGAGCUAUCUAGAGAGAUAUUAGUAUUGGUGACUAAAGGCUUGGUCAAAGAGAGAUGUUAAGGAGUGUCUUAUAGGAGGUAGAAGAAAUUUUAAUAGGAAAUUCUUGAGUUUAGAGCCUGUAUCUAUAGACAUGGCUGUCACUAGUGGUUGGAUGAAAAUCAUGAAUGCAGAGGAAGGAGGGCCUGGACGAGUGCAGAGACCUCAGAGUUUUGUAGGGCUGUAGAAGAAUUUAAAAACUUUGUAAGACACAUACUGUUGGACAAAAAUUUGACAACUAUCUGAUAAAUUUCACCAAUAGCAUAGCUCCAGUCAAGUGAAUUCAGUACUGACAGUAUGUCAGGCAGUAGGAAAGGUUUAUUUUAACAAAGCAUCUAAUUUUAACCAAAACCACAAAUUAGCUUUUUAAAUACAGUACAAAAUGCUUAACAUGCUUAAUGUGUUUACCUCUUUGAAUCUUGAUGUAUCUUCCAGCAGUUGGAAAUAUUUUAAAUGUUUUCAUGCAGGUACAAAACUUGGUGUAUUUGCCUUCAGGUUUCUUCUUUAAUUUGGAAUUUUCCACUUUUUAAAACUUUCAUGUGACAGUAGAACAAAAAAAGUUUUUUUGGACGGGCUGACAAAGGGUUGCUGUCAUUUAUUGAACAUCUGAACUAACGUUGUUCACCAUCUUAGAUUUAGACAUGAUUCAAGUUGCUUUGCAGGCUACCUUUUAGUUCAGAUGUGGGAAUGUUUCUCUUUUCCUUCUCCCCCCUCACCCACUCCUCUGCUUCACCAGCCACUACAAGCUCUCUGUGUAUGUGCGUAUCAGUUCUGGCUCAUGUUGGUAGCACUCCCUCCACUGUCUGAAGGUUGUGACAUUGAAGUCCCAUUCCAGCACGAUGUCCAGUACAGAACUUUCUGAAAAGAUACCAUGCUGGCACCCAUUUUCUCUCUCUCAGAUCUAAAAGAUCUCAACGUUGAUUUUGAAGAGGCUGAGGAAAAUUGAUCCCCAUAUCCUGGCUAAUGCUUACUAUUCAAUCAGCAUCACUGUAAAAACCAUCUAGCCAUUAGCACAUUGCUAUUUAUGGAGCUUGCUGUGUUUUUGACAAUAAAACAAUGAUUCACACUUAAAAAAUAAAGUGCUUUUGAGAUGUCUUGAAGUUGUAAAGUUUGCUACAGAAAUGCAAGUCUGUAGUCUCCUCCACUACCUUUGCUACCCUGUCUGACUCUCAAAAAAGGUUCUGAGAUUUAUAAAUUGCAAUUCUUUGUGACUGAUUAUAGAUAUUGGUUAAUUUGUCUUUGACAGUGGGGUGGUGUGGCAGGGAGAGGAAAGAUGUUGCAAACACAUAUUUGUAUUUUCAUGAACUUCGGAUUUCAAAUAACACCUUGAAAAGCAAUGUGACAGAUUAAUUCCUGAAAGAGGUGGAGAAUUCUGUUUUCCUUUUAACUUUCACGAUUGGAGUUGCCCCCUCUCAGCAAUCUUGCCUCUCACCCUUGAUGUUAAAUCAUGCAGGUCUGUAGGACUGUGUAUAUCUCAGGCAAUACUUUCUGUUCACAGGUCUGUACAUUUUUUUUUAAGAGCAAUACUUGCUGGUAUGCAAUAUUGAUGUGUUGUACCACGAAAUCCUUACCUCCUUGCCCAAUGGUCCUUUGCAGAUUUUUAAAAGUUUAGCUGCUAGAUUAAUACAGUUUCAACUGGAACAUGUAUAAUUCUUUUUCUGAGCAUUUUAACUCUUUUCGGUGGGGAUUGAGGUGAUAAACAGUAUUGUGCUUAAAGAUUUUGCUCAUCCAAAUUAGAAUAAUAUUUGAGCCCAGGAAUCUUGCCUGCUUUGUUUGUGUAGAUUUGUUUGGCUUCUUCUCCAGAAUGUGAUUUAUUUAUUGCGAGGGGGAGUGGAUGUUGUAUUUGUCCUAAGUUUUAGUUUGUAAAGGACAGAGCCCUUUUUGGCUCAUGGAAACCAGCAUUCAGAGGAAACAAAUAUUUUUGAAGAAAAUGAAUUUAUUCUUUGGCUGAUUUAAUGCUAUGAUUUAACGCCAUUUUGAAAAUCCAUUGUGUUAAAAUCUAUUGCAUGACCGAGCAUAUUUGAGUAUUUUCAAGGUUAACUACUUGAAGGGAAGAAAUUGGUGGGGUUGUUGGGAAAGCGCAGAGAUGUGGGACUCAAUGGGCAGCUGUACCAAAGAGCUGGCAACGGCAUGAUGGGUUAAAUGGCCUUCUUUUAUGGUGUACCUGUCUGAUUUUUCUUAAGUGUAAUCUUUGGUCCAUUUCCAAAUUUUGAACAGUGUAGAAGGAUUUCCAGUUGUCAAAUCUAUUUACAAUCCCAGAUAACCUGUUGCCUUGACUCCUGUCCCUUCUCUGCAUGUUCUCCUCCCGUUUGGGAGCGUGAGCUGAUUCAGACCUGGGAACAAACAUUUUCCUCACUGACAACUGACGUUCUAUCAUGAUCUGAUAGCAAUAUGGGAUAAGAGGCUUGCCCCAGUUGGGUCCUGGUGAUAUCUACUUGUGCUCAUUUUUCAGAGGUCUAUACUGUUUAAUUAAUAAUUAUUUCUCUGUUGGGGUCUCGCGUUUUGAAAAUGUCCUUGUUCACCAAUGUAUUUGAAGCAAUGAAAAGUGUGUUUACUUUUUCCAAAUGAUUAUUGUGUACAAUGAGAUAUUAAGAGGUAUGUUUGGAGCCCUGCUCUUCAGUGUGCUGUGUAGGGCUGCUUAUAUUAUUUGUUUUCUUUUUUAUAAACCAUGGAUUUUAAGUUCAUUUUUCAAUGCAUUAAAUUCACAUUGCAACAUAAAUAGUUAAACGUGCACCCAGUGUAGAUUUAUAAACUUCGUUUUUUUUUAUUUUUAGCAACUGUCAACUUUUAUUUUUGAAAUAUCAUUUGCACUCCUUUAUUUUUCCAAUGUAGGCUUGUUUUGCAGUUAUUUUCAAGUUCACAUUUUAAUGAGAUCAAACACCAGAGAAUUCACUUCUAAUUGCUAAUUAACUUCCCAAUAUUUUUCGCUGUGUGAGAAUCAACUGCUGAUUGAAUAAGGCUUGCACAGAUUUGGCUAUUUCAAUGCACCCAUUUAUAUCCCCUAGACGUGUGAAGGGUGUGCUCGCAGUAUGGAAUUGACUGUCUCCUUCACACAGAGGAGAGUUAUGCAUGAACGCUGUUCUACCUUGAACUUUGUAUAGAGAACUAGAUAUUUAUGACAAGUCACAGAUGUAAUAAGUGAAGUUUACUUGAGGUUUUCACUCUUUUUAAUGUGGCUAGCUGGAGAGAAUAGCCAUGUUGUUGGUCACCUGUGUGUUUUACUGAGGCUCGCUCCACUGUUUAAAGUUUUGUUCCCACUCCAGCCUCCAGCUUGGCUUGAUUCAAGAGACUUCUCCUGAACUGUCUCUGCACACACUGAUGUUUGAGCUGGAUUAUUUGAAAUAAAUAGUUUGAACAAUUUCUUAAA